CAGUCGGUGCAACCAGCGUUGUACUGUGCAGUUCUCUAUUUUUGGAAUGAGUCCAACGUAAUUCAGUUGGAAUAUCGACAUAAUUGUAUGACUCUGGAAAAAAUUAUAAGAAUAAAUCCUGCAGAGUUUUCGAUUGUGAAUGUAGAUCUUCCAGGGCUGCUGUGCUUGAAGUGAAGUCUCACAGUUGAUUUCAGAGUUAUCGAAUCAUCGAGUUUAUUUUCCGGAAGUGAAGCACUCCUCUGCCCUCAAGACGUCCAAGACCCCCUGGAUCGAAUUUUCUCGUCAGUUUUUCUUGAUAUCUGGUGCAUCAGGAUGUUGGCGAUUCAUAAUGCAGUGAGAAGUGGACUCUAUCUGAGUCGACAAGCUGGACAAUGCAGGACAGCCAUGGCAACACGUCCCAGGACGAAUAUUUCAUUUGCUGAAAAAGUUGCACAUGGAAUCGCACUGUUUGUUGGCAUCCUCGGCACCCCAGCCUAUAUCGCAUGUCAUUUCCAAAAGUACGGUGGUGCAAAAUCAUAAAUUACAGCAGCAGAUCUAGAUACUCGUCUAAUCUAUAUAAUUCCUACGCAAAUUAUUAAUUUAAAUGUCAACGAUAUGAAGAAUGCAAUGUUAUUGAUUCAAAUUCGGUUGUAGAACUAAGGGAUUAAAUCUCUUACAUGUAUUUCUAGUGGACAGUCUUUUCAUUCUACUCCAACUCAUAAUAACUGAACCUUCAAUUUUACUCCAUAGAGCAGGUGACACUUAGAAACAAAUACUAAAUGAAUCAGCCAGUUGACAACAAGCCUUUUGCAUAAUCAAAGUAGCUUCCAAUCGCGAACGGCACUAAAAAAUUCUCGAGAAAUUUUCCUAUCUGGGAUCAGAUAAACAUUUUCAAUUUCACGUUGAAUAAAAUUUUCUCGACGACCCGGUGUGCUUUAUAGCCAAGAAAUAUUGUCGCAGCGAUAAGGCUUCCACUCCUUUUUACCUUUUCUCGAUGAAAAUGCAAAAUAUAUCCAGCACAUGCCAACACAUGACAGUCACUACAGGUACAUACAAUUUGCGUCGUGCGCAAAGGAAAAAAAAUGCGCUGUUGUCGGGUUUCCUCAUCAUCAUUGAAAAGUGGAAUUCGCCAUCUAGAGCUUGUCUAGCUGGAGAAACCCUUGGAGAACAUCGGAGUGAAAUAUUGGAGAUUUUCAUAAACACCUGAGAGAAGAGAAAGAUGUUCGUCACUGGAUUGAAAAUUGCAAGAGGUUCUGCUGCAGUUAAUCAGCAAACUGUCAGAACUCUUAGCAGUAUAGUCACCAAACCUCGCGCUCGCGUAUCUUUCUUCGAAAAAUGUGUGCAUGGAGUGAUAAUGACAGUUGGCAUCUUGGCAGUGCCAUCAUACAUCGCCAUAAACUUCAAGAAAUACUCAGGACGAGCUGACUAGACCUGGGGACAUUCCACUAGCCUUCAAUUCUUCUUUAAAAAUGUAAAUGAAAUUAUUAAAAUCAAUCACAAUCACUGAGAUGUCAGGAGAGUCACCAGAAAUUGGACGAAUGAAGUACCAAAAAUAGUCAAUAAAGUGUGACUUGAAAAAUCGGA